UUGGAGGGCAAGUCUGGUGCCAGCAGCCGCGGUAAUUCCAGCUCCAAUAGCGUAUAUUUAAGUUGUUGCAGUUAAAAAGCUCGUAGUUGAACUUUGGGUUGGGUCGGCCGGUCCGCCACUGGUAUGUACUGGUCUCACUGAUUCCUCCUUCCUGAUGAGCCGUAAUGCCAUUAAUUUGGUGUUGCGAGGAAUCUGGACUGUUACUUUGAAAAAAUUAGAGUGUUUAAAGCAAGCUAACGCUUGAAUACAUUAGCAUGGAAUAAUGAAAUAGGACGUUCGAUCCUAUAUUGUUGGUUUCUAGGAUUGACGUAAUGAUUAAUAGGGAUAGUUGGGGGCAUUAGUAUUCAAUUGUCAGAGGUGAAAUUCUUGGAUUUAUUGAAGACUAACUACUGCGAAAGCAUUUGCCAAGAAUGUUUUCAUUAAUCAAGAACGAAAGUUAGGGGAUCGAAGACGAUCAGAUACCGUCGUAGUCUUAACCAUAAACUAUGCCGACUAGGGAUCGGAUGAUGUUAAUUUUUUAAUGACUCAUUCGGCGCCUUACGGGAAACCAAAGUGUUUGGGUUC
rnacentral:rRNA from 1 species